rnacentral:lncRNA from 1 species
GUGGGAGAUUAACAGCGGUGCUGAAUAAAUAGGGCACAGGUUUCACGAGAGGCACUCGCCUAUCUUGCUGGGACCACUCGUGGGGAUUUCUUGUCUCUUGUCCCUCCUGCACCGUGUUGCAGAACGUUACAGCAGGUGCUGACAUCACUGAGGUGUUCCCCAGAGAGGGAGAAGAUGCCACCCUAACGUUUGCUCUGGAUUCCCCGGUGGACCUGACAGAUGAGGCGUUUGACUUGAAGAAAGGGAAGCAGGAGGUGUUCUUCUAUAUACAGGGCAAGGACUACAACAACGGCCGGGAGGGACAAGACCCCCAUUAUGUGGGCAGGGUGCACCUUCUCCCAGGGGGGCUGCAGGCCGGUAACGCCUCUGUGGUCCUGUCCGGUGUGACCCAGGCGGACAGUGGAGUGUAUAAGUUCGUAAUUCUUACGAAACUGACCAAAAGUUACGGAGAUAUUCUGCUGACUGUAGGUGAGUGAUUGGUCCGUUUUUUUUAAGUCUCUCGCUCUCAGCUCUCACCUACAGCACCUUAAGUUUAAUUUGACCGUAAGGGUUCUUUGUCUUUGUACCACACGGACGAGGGCUGGUUCAAGUCCUGGGCAGGGGGGUAGGUGUUGAGUCAGAGUCCAGGUGGGUCAGGGCCGGGGCAGGGGGGUAGGUCUCGUGUUAGGGCCGGGGAAGAGGGGUAGGUCUUGGGUCAGAGUCCUGGGCAGAGGGGUAGAUAUUGGGUCAGGGUCCAGGUGGGUCCAGCCCGGGGCAGAGGGGUAGGUCUCGUGUUAGGGCCGGGGCAGAGGGGUAGGUCUCGUGUUAGGGCCUGGGCAGAGGGGUAGGUGUUGGGUCAGGGUCCAGGUGGGUCGGCUGGUACACCGGGCUUCAGAAAUCGUAUUUUCCGAAGCCACAAGAUGGCAGAACUUAAAUAAGUUUAGUUCGACUCUUAGUUUGGUCAGUAUGCUACACAUGGUUGUGCACUUAUUGUAGGUUUUACGUUGUGUACGUCCUGGCACUUAAAGGUUGUAUCAGCGAUGUUGGGCGACGUCACUUCUGUUGGUAUUUGAAGCAAGAUCCCAAACAAACAGAGCCCGCUCACCCCUCCCUUCCGCGUUUCGUGCUUCCAGUAAAACCUAUCAUGAACGCAGCGCAAAACCAGCGGGUUGUGAGGAAAGAUCAGAUGAAUGUGACCAUUUAUGUUCUGGCGUAGAAUCGCUGAUACAACUUUUAAUGUACGCACUUAUUGAAUGUUGUAUGUCCUCGCACUUAAAAAACGUUCUUAGCAUUGUGUAGCAUCUUAUCCUAGCUACCUUUGUUGCGCACGGGGAAUGGGUUAACCUAACGAUUGUGAGUGCUUGGCACUCGAUUCUAUGAACAUCCCUACUGUACCACUGAUAGAUUGUUGUUUCUCUUUAUCCUGACAAAUGUACUUACUGUAAGUCGCUUUGGAUAAAAGCGUCUGCUCAACGCCCUCAAUUUAAACGACUUAACGCCCUCCUGCCCACAGUGGUGAAGUCUCUGUUGAGUGUGGAGGUGGUAGAGG